CCUAUUCUCAAACUUUAAAUAUGUAAGAACGAGCCGUCUCUUGAUUGGACCGCUCGGCGAUUGAGAGUUUCUAGUGGGCCAUUUUUGGUAAGCAGAACUGGCGAUGCGGGAUGAACCGAACGGGGGGUUAAGGUGCCGGAAUAUGCACUCAUCAGACACCACAAAAGGUGUUAGUUCAUCUAGACAUCAGGACUGUGGCCAUGGAAGUCGGAAUCCGCUAAGGAAUGUGUAACAACUCACCUGCCGAAUGAACUAGCCCUGAAAAUGGAAGGCGCGAUAUCCUUAUGUCGAGUGAAGAAAAAGCACUGAACAACACCC
rfam:Rhizopogon vinicolor AM-OR11-026 unplaced genomic scaffold K503scaffold_2055, whole genome shotgun sequence.